GAGCAGUAGGGAAUUUUCGGCAAUGGGCGCAAGCCUGACCGAGCAACGCCGCGUGAGUGAUGAAGGCCUUCGGGUUGUAAAACUCUGUUGUAAGGGAAGAACAAUCAAGAUAGGAAAUGAUCUUGUUCUGACGGUACCUUACCAGAAAGCCACGGCUAACUACGUGCCAGCAGCCGCGGUAAUACGUAGGUGGCAAGCGUUAUCCGGAAUUAUUGGGCGUAAAGGGUGCGUAGGUGGUUUAUCAGGUCUGAAGUAAAAGUGCGGGGCUCAACUCCGUAUUGCCAUAGAAACUGAUAGACUUGAGUGUAGGAGGGGGCAAUGGAAUUCCAUGUGUAGCGGUAAAAUGCGUAGAUAUAUGGAGGAACACCAGUGGCGAAGGCGGUUGCCUGGCCUACUACUGACACUGAGGCACGAAAGCGUGGGGAGCAAAUAGGAUUAGAUACCCUAGUAGUCCACGCUGUGAACGAUGAAUACUAAGUAUUGGAGAAAGUCAGUGCUGCAGCUAACGCAA
rnacentral:rRNA from 1 species